ensembl:lncRNA
CAUCUUUAAGGAUAAAACUGUGGGUUAAAAAUAUAAAAACUUCAAUCAACCCAACAUUUAUUGGCUAUACUACAAUCACAGAAUAAAAGGGUAGCAGCUGUUUCUUCAACAAGAACACAAAAGAAGCACAUCAAAAUAUUUCCAGAUAGAUUGUUGCGCUUGUUAUGACGUCAUAGGUCACAUGAUAACGUCAUCAUGGCAGAUGAUGUCCGUGUCACAUUCAUCCUUCACGCGACCAGGCUGUAGAGUACGGACUCUUUCAGCGCUCGUUAAGUAAGUACUUACUGAAAUGAAGUACCUACUCUUUGAGUAUGCGGUCUCGGACGCAGCCGGUUUAGUACCACACACCUGUCUGUAAUCACGAAUCAUAAGAUGCAUGCUCAUCCCUAUGCCCUAAUCCCUUCAAAGGGGUUACCCACCGGAGUGAGAGCUUCGAAGGGUGUAGGGGACCAAACAACUGUUUCUUGAAGUGCCCUUCUGCGUCAUCAUCACGCGACCACACGGAAGCAAAGUAUCAUGGGAGCCCGAAGUGUCCAUCAGUUGUACCCUUCAAAUAUCCCGUUUGGAACGCACCGCAGGACAGAUGUCCCACUUCCGUCCUCAAUGCUGAUUUCCGGUCCAUCACACGUCACGUUCACAUGUUGUCCACAUGAUGUCGCCAUAACACCAUGAGAGCGUUUUGUGUUUUUGUGUCAAUUACGGCAAAAACAAAAAUUAAGGACCGGUGUAGGGCCUCUGACACCGCAACCCAACAGACCCUCCGGUCCACCCUCUCUGACAGGAGCACCGCAGGAACGGGACUUCAGUCUCAACGCACGGCCAGAUCUUUCCAGGUCUCAUGGAGAGGAGGGCUGUCUGCGAAACACUGGGGUUCCUCAAGGUUCUGUGCUCGCUCCUCUCCUCUUCUCCAUUUACACAACUUCACUGGGAAGGACGGCCUAGUCACGCACUUAUGAAUAUCAUUGCUUUCAUGAGAGACUGUUUGUGAUGCACUGCAUGUGUAAGUCACUUUGCAAAAUGCUUCUGCUAAAUUUACAGUGUAGGGAUAAGAUGAUGUUGUGAAAAGGUACACUCAUAUAGUCAUUCAACACCUCAAAUAAGCCAGACUGGUGGAAAGUGAAUUUUGGGGCCUGUCCUGUACAUGGUUUGUCAUAUUUUAGUAACUUACA